ensembl:lncRNA
AUGCUUGAGUCGGCUGAAGAUACAUCGGCAAUGCUGGCUGCUUUCCACACUUUUUCAGAGGCUUCCUUGUUGCUCACCGAUUUGACAGAAAAAUUCCUCUGGGAUCUUAAAGAUUCUGCUCAUCAGGAGCAUGUGGCUCAGUGCCUGCAAAUACUUAAAAACUGCACUGCUAUGCUACACACAGCAAAACUCAAUAACCUAAAGUACCCCGGGGAUCAUCAAGUGAAACUAUCCAAAAGUUAUGUUUUUGAUUUGGCAAAAAACACAACCGAGGAGUUGAUCUCCCUGCUGAGGAAUAAUGUGGGGACCAAGAGGCUAAGUGAAAGAAAUGGCCUAUUUUCCCAGCAUUUGCAUAAGCUUUUGAGCCUCCUAUCCAGCCCAGAGCCUAUUGAUUUACAGGAGGGAAAUGUCCACAUAGAAGCACUGGUUUCCUUCUGCAUGCUGCUAGCAGAUUCAUCAAGAGCGGAUCAAAAGGUGAAGUUGAUCAGACUCUGCCAUCAUCUCCUGAAAUCCAGAAAGGCCAUUGAGGUGGGCAAGACUAUUGGCUUCCCAAUGGAAAACCAGAUAGAAGAGAAGGAUUUUACCAUGAAAACUAUUUUAGGAAAUCUUGAUCAAGCAGUGCAUACUGCUGUUCUUUAUCAGAUACUAGAUAGCUUUUCCGAUACUAAUGGACCACUGCAGAGAUUGACAGAAGCUGCUCUACAAUCACAUUCUUUAGGGAAUGGAGGACUCUUAAGGAAACUGAAGCCUCUUAUUACUGAAUUCUUCAGUUAUUCCCAUCAAAUGCUCAAAGGAGCUAAUUUUGUCCUUGCCACGUGCACUGAAAUAGAAACCAUACAAGACAUUAAAGAUUGUGUUGGCCUUUUGGGCAAACUUCUUGCCAAAGUGCCUACCCUACUCAGUGAAAUGAGCCAGCAUCCUGGCCAUGGGAGAAUGGCUGAAAAGUUAGACUUCUUGUGUCAAUCAUGGUCUAGCACAAUGGAAAGUUUGCUGAUGUGUUUUGAGAAAGUGGUUGAUCUACGUGAAUUUCUUGACCUAGGAAUUCAAGAGAUGGUGGAACUCAAAAAGAAGAGUGAGGAAGCUUUAGCAAAUCAGCACUUUGGAGAAUUUUCUUGCCAUGCCUCCAGUCUUUCCAAACAAGCUACACAAGUAGUUGAGUUUGUUAUCAGACACGUGGAUAGAGCCAGGGACCCUAUUUUCCGGAAUGGGCUGCUUGUUUUAGUUAAGCAACUCGAACGGGCCAUAUUGCAAGUGAAAGCUGCCAUACGUCUGUGUAGGACAAGAAUUUGUAGUCAGGAAGCCAAAGAUGAAUAUUUGAAGAAGGUGGAAGAAGUGAUUGAGUCAACAUAUAAUGUCAGAAUGGGACUAGAUGAAUGCAAUCAGCCAGAUAUCCUCAGCCCUCUUCGUUUAGGUGUAAGGAAUCUCAACAUUUCCAAAGAUUCUCCCUCUAGCUCCCCUGUACAGGAUCUGGCAGAGGGUGAUGAACAUGACAGUACUGAACAAAACAGUUCAAACAAUUCAGAAUUAAUGGCAGCAUUGUCAGGCAAAUCUCUUCCCGCCUCUUGUCCUUCGCAGAGAAUCUCUACAAGCAGUAUUUCAUUCUGUGAAAGUGCAAUGGGAAAAGUGGAUUUACAUCCUCUGAUCACAGAGCUUCUGACAACAGUUGAAGCACACAACACCACACAGCUGAACAGUGUUUGUUCUAAUUUGUUGGAGUUUUCCAACUGUUGUGUUGAUGCAUCUAAAGAGGCCUUAAAAGUUGCCAAGUCGCCUGAGUCAGAAAAACUCCUGCAUUACAGAGAAAUAGUGGCAUUAAUACCUAGUCUAAUCAGCUUAGUCAAAGGUGUAGAUCCAAACCAUUCUCCUGAAUCAGAGAAACUCCUGCAAACAGCAGCUUUGCUCUCAGAGGAAUUUGAUGAAGUUAAGCAAUGCCUGAUGAUAGUUGCAAGCUCUUGGUACCCCUUUGCCAAGCAGCUGUUUUGCAAUAUCUCUGGAUCUGAUCUUGUGGUCAGCAAGCAAAAAUUUGAUGAGAUAAUUGAGACUUUAGGGAAUAUUGUUCAACUGGCUGGCAAAGAUGCUCAUACAGAUUGUAAGAACGAGCAGGCAGAGUUUCCCAGAAAUUAUGAAUGUUUUCUGCAACUUCAGGAUACAUUCACUUGUGUACAAGCCAGAACAAAACACUUGCUUGACAAGGCUUCCAUGGUCAAUAAGGCUCACUCUGACAUUAAUCAGCUGGAAAACUUUGAUAUAACCUGCAUUCUUUGGUCUGUCACCAUCCAAGCUUUCCUGAACUAUUUAGAUCAAUUUAUGGGAAGAGAUGCAUUGUCCUUAAGUGAUUCAAAAGCCAAGAUGGGACACCAACUUCCUUUGCAGAGCACCAUGGCAGUGCUGUCAGAGACUACUCUGAGAAUACAAGAAGCCACCAGACUGUCACUUCUGCCUUGUGCUGGACAUGAUAAUGAGAAUGAAAUUAUAGUGCUAAGGGAGCAGAUGAAAACACUGAUGGCAUCUCUGCUUCAUGUUGCAAAUGCUCUUUCUGCCCCUCCGCUGCCUUCCCCAGAUUUGUCAGUCCGUUUUCAGCUUCUCCAAAGGCAACUGGCCAUAACAACCAAAGUCCUUCUGCUUCAGCUGAAUGUAGUCAAUGGAGAAUUCCUCAGCAGCAUCCAGAACUUCAUCCGACUAGCCCAAGUUGUGUCUUGUGACAGUGAAAGUGACUUUGGUGUAAUCAACAAGGAGGACUUCGAAAAAGAUGCAGGGCUGUUUGUGGAAAAUAUCCAGAUGGUCAAAGAUAUAAUCAGAGAUGCCCCAGAAAACCCUUCUUCCUCAAAGGUGAAAGAAAAUUUACUUUCUACCGUUGAGCAUCUCGUUCUCCUUACUGAUGAAGUGAUAAGAAGAACUGGGAGACUUCAAAGUCAGGUAGACAAGGAACAUCUCCUGGCGGACAGUAUUCUGCACGAGUGGUCGGCUAGAGCUGCUUAUCUUGUAAGGCAGCUUCAGUCCACGAAAAGCGUCAGCAAAAGAGCCGUUGAACGUAUUAGGAGAUGCUUGAAACAUAGUAAGGAAUAUAUUCAUUCCUGUCAAGCUUUCUAUGGAACACAGUCUCUCCUACAAGAGGACAGGGAUAGUGGGAGGCAUCAAGACCUUGAAACUUCAACACACAAGAUCACUAAAAUCAACCAAGAAGUUUCAUUUAUCAAGGACACCAACAAAACGGAGUCUGACCAGUAUAUUAAUUAUGGAUCUCCUGCUGAGACAUCUGCCAAGAAAGAGCAGGUUGGAGUUACUGAGGAAGAAAACAUAGACCAGCACUAUGGAGAUCCUCAAAGUGAGUUUCAGCCCAGUCAAACAAUGGAAAACUCAAGAACCAGUCCUUCCUCUUUGGUGGGAGAUUCCAAAAAGUGGCAACACACUGGCUGUCCAAUUUCACAGGUCAUGAAGCAAAUGACAACUCAGAUGUCCUACAUGGCUCAGUUCCUGAAAAGGAGAGGACCACUUACGACCAAGGAACAGCUCAUUGCCUCUGCUGCAGAAAUAAUUUCUGGAGGACAAGUUUUGGUGAAGUUUGCCAGCAUUGUUGCAAAGAACUGCCGAGAUGAAAGAUGUGCAACCGAACUGCUGCAUGCGGUGGAACAAACCAGGACAAUCAGCUAUCAACUCAGCAUUGUUUCCAGGGUUAAUGCAUCAACUGGCAGGAGCCGGUCAUCAGCAGAACACCUUGUGAGCAAUGCGCAGAACCUAAUCCACGUGGCUCUUCAGAUGUUAAAGAUGGCAGAAGUAGCUUGUGUCAAAUGUUCGCAACAGGCACCCCCAGACUCAGAAGAAGCUGACGUAGCUGCAUUUUGCAGCCAAUGGAGGAAAUGCCUUUGGUGGCACAGAUUCAAGGAAUCCCUGAACUCAGAAAGAGAUGAAUUGGGACUGCGCAAAACUGCAUCGUGGCCUGAGCCUACCUUCACAUCGAUGGCCCAAGAAGUCUCUGCUCCGUAG